rnacentral:rRNA from 1 species
AUCACUAAAGACUGGAUAGGAGAUAAGAAGGCAUCUUUUUAUUUUUAAAAGACCUAGCAAUAGGUAUGCUUAGGGAAGAGCUUGCGUCACAUUAGUUAGUUGGUGGGGUAAUGGCCUACCAAGACGAUGAUGUGUAGCCGGGCUGAGAGGUCGAACGGCCACAUUGGGACUGAGACACGGCCCAAACUCCUACGGGAGGCAGCAGUAAGGAAUUUUCGGCAAUGGAGGAAACUCUGACCGAGCAAUGCCGCGUGAACGAUGAAGUAUUUCGGUACGUAAAGUUCUUUUAUUAGGGAAGAAAAGAUGGUGGAAAAACCAUUAUGACGGUACCUAAUGAAUAAGCCCCGGCUAACUAUGUGCCAGCAGCCGCGGUAAUACAUAGGGGGCAAGCGUUAUCCGGAAUUAUUGGGCGUAAAGGGUGCGUAGGCGGUUAAAUAAGUUUAUGGUCUAAGUGCAACGCUCAACGUUGUGAUGCUAUAAAAACUGUUUAGCUAGAGUUGGAUAGAGGCAAGUGGAAUUCCGUGUGUAGUGGUAAAAUGCGUAAAUAUACGGAGGAACACCAGAAGCGAAGGCGGCUUGCUGGGUCUUAACUGACGCUGAGGCACGAAAGCGUGGGGAGCAAACAGGAUUAGAUACCCUGGUAGUCCACGCCCUAAACGAUGAGUACUAAACGUUGGAUAAAACCAGUGUUGAAGUUAACACAUUAAGUACUCCGCCUGAGUAGUACGUACGCAAGUAUGAAACUUAAAGGAAUUGACGGGACUCCGCACAAGCGGUGGAUCAUGUUGUUUAAUUCGAAGGUACCCGAAAAACCUCACCAGGUCUUGACAUGCUUUUGCAAAGCUGUAGAAAUACAGUGGAGGUUAUCAGAAGCACAGGUGGUGCAUGGUUGUCGUCAGCUCGUGUCGUGAGAUGUUGGGUUAAGUCCCGCAACGAGCGCAACCCUUGUUGUUAAUUGCCAUCAUUAAGUUGGGGACUUUAGCAAGACUGCCAAUGAUAAAUUGGAGGAAGGUGGGGACGACGUCAAAUCAUCAUGCCCCUUAUGACCUGGGCUACAAACGUGAUACAAUGGCUGUUACAAAGGGUAGCUAAAGCGUAAGCUUCUGGCGAAUCUCAAAAAAGCAGUCUCAGUUCGGAUUGAAGUCUGCAACUCGACUUCAUGAAGUUGGAAUCGCUAGUAAUCGCGAAUCAGCAUGUCGCGGUGAAUACGUUCUCGGGGUUUGUUCAG